GCAUCGAUGAUCUAGUGGUAUGAUUUUGGCCUUCCAAGCCAACAGCCCGGGUUCGAAUCCCGGCCGAUGCA
rnacentral:tRNA from 1 species